rnacentral:rRNA from 11 species
CAUUGUUGUUUUCAAUUUACUAAUAGCUAGAUCCCAUCUGCUCUUAGAAGUUAAACCGAGUCAACUCUGGUUAGUACUUGGAUGGGAGACUGCCAGUGAAUAUCAAGUACUGCAGGCA